UUCACUGAGUCACAGGAGAUGGUCCCCAUUUCUAAAUCCUUAACUUGUUGUUCUGGAUCCAACUCCAGGGUUUUGAAAAUUGUAGAGAAAACCCAGAGAUAGUUGGUAGGCGGGUCCUGUCAGAGAGGAGCAGGGCCUGCCCUUUCUCUGUGUCAGAUCAAAGGUAGCUUCCCAGUCAUUUGAUACCCCCAGUAAAGAUGUGCCUGAGCCAGGACUGGGGCUUUCUGGGGGCCUGGGAGCUGAGGACGUGUGGGCCUGCAUGUGUUCGUGUGGGCUGGUGUGGAGGGGAGGGCACACUCACAGCAGCUGCCCCUGGAACUCAAGGCUAGGGGAUCUGGAAAGGGCAGCCGGCCGCCUCAGCUUUCAGAGACGCUGCUUCCAGUGCAGCCCUUUCCUGGUUCCAGUUCUGGGGACACACAGGCUGCCUUGUUUGCAGCUGCUCCGACGUAGCUGUCCCCUUCUGAAAUCCCAGUCCCAGGGCUCAGAUGUUGUUCCCAGUGUGUCCCCAGCCUAAGCUGGCUGUCCCUCUAAAAUCCAAACAGAAACACUUUGGAGAGAGAGUGGGCGGUGUUUGUAACACCAGGAGAGUCAGAAUCAAGCAGGACCAUGUUAGGCAAAGCGGCAAAUGGGUUCUUCCUUCCCAUAUCUCCCCUUUGGGCUAACACUGACACUGAACUAUCUACCAACCUCCACCCCGUGAUUUUGGGUACCAGGAACUUUUAGAUUUAGGUGUUUUGAGAUUUGGUCUGUGGAGUAGAAACUUCAGAUCCCUCCCACACCUCAGGCGCAGGAAAGCAGAUAGGAACCCUGAGGAAAAUCAGAAGAUUGUUCCUUUGAAAGCCCAUCCAUGAUCAUGCAGCAUCUAGAUGUGGAUAAUUAGGUUUUCAGGACUUGGGAUAGAUCUGUUAACAUUGAGUAGCUUCUUUUUAUUCUAAACAGGCUCAUGGGCUUCCCAUGAAGUACGUGGGUCACAAGAGACAUUUCUCCUCCAGGGUCCUGACUAGCUGAAACCCUAAUCGGAGGCAUUAUGCAGGUGCAGAGCAAAGCCUGAGGCUGCAGGCUCCUGGCAGAAGGGAGAUGGGAGCUGGUUACUUGCCCCUCCUGUAUUGUUUCCAUCUGAGCAGCUGGGCCUCUCAACCCUUGGCAGAGUAGGAUCUCUGACAGCAGAAGAGGUGGACGCCAGGGCUCUGUCCUGUGGCUGUCUUAGCCAGCACCAAGCCGUUUCUCAUCCAAUUCUGGCAGUACUCAGAUCACAACAGGGCCUCCAUAAUAAAGGACAGAAAAGGUCACUGGGUCUUCAGAUGGCACCCUAGAGUUUUGCCUUCCCUGGAGGUCCUCCUGGGUGGGCUGAGUCUGACCAUUCUCUCCUAUAAUUAAUAUUAAGAUUGCCAUGUUCAAUGUAGGGUUAGAUUUGAAUUGCGGAUAAGUCAUUUUCUAAUUCAGGCAUGUCAUAUGCAAAGGUUGUGUUUUACAUGGCAAGGGACAGGCCAGGUUUGCUCACUGCAGAGGGAAGCCAACCACAGUGCUCUUUCAUUCAGCCCAGUGACAGUUUGUGGAGUGUCAGGAAUAGCAUAUGGCAGAUGCUGUCCCAGGCACUGAGGAGACUACAGGGAGUAAAACCAGGUGUGAGCUCCUGGAUUCGUGGUGAUCACAGUGAAGUGUGUGGUGGAGUGUUUGAUGGAUGUGUGGUGGGUAAAUGGAAGAUGUGAGCCUCGUAUCCAGUCAGGAAGAAACAGCCAGAGCAGAUACGUGUAUGUAGGUGUAUAUAAAUACUUGUAGAUACAGUAUGUAUAUAAAUUCUGAACAGAAACCAUGGUAACUUGUCUGUCUUAGUGCCUUUCUAGAGGCUACACUGAGCCCUGUUCUGUUACUCUCUUCUUUGCUCUUUGAAACAGUUUCUCACUGAACCUAGAACAAAGCUCAAUAAUCCUUCUUCCUCCACCUUACACAGUGUUAGAAGCAUGGCAGAUCCCAUGCUUUCCUGGUGAGCACUCUUACCCAUUGAGUCAUCUCUCUAGCCCUGAAGUUGGUUUUGAUAGACUAAACGGGCUUAAAUUGAAAUUGUUAGAGAGCUGAUGGGCCUGACAGCUUCCCUUUCUUUUCCAGUCUGAAAAAACAGAUAAGGUUUUACCUGGCCUGCUUUGAAAAUUCAAAGAAGCUGGGAGCAACACCUGCAACCCCAGCCCUUGUGGGCUGAGGUGAGAGGGUAGAAAGCUUAAGGCCAGUUGAACUACCUAUACAGACCUGACUUCAAAUGCAGUAUGAACAGGGUCAACAUGGCGCAUCAGCAGGUAAAGGAGCUUUCUGCCAAGCCUGGUGACCCAAGUUCAAGCCCUGGAACCUACACAGUGGAAGGAGAGAAUGGACUCCUAUAAGCUGUCCUUUGACCUCCAUACCUGCGUUGUAGGACGCAUGCCAGUAUACCUAAGACAAACAGAUGUGAAAGAAAAACAUUUACUUGUCACACAAAUAGUCACUAUAUUUAAAAGUAAAGAUAAUCAUUUGAUAUCAUAAAAUACGUUCUUUGGGGGAAAGUACUGAGUCUAUACGGGUUUGGCUUUUAAGUGGUGAAAAUUAUUCUAAAUGUCAGCCAGCUUUGAUGGGAAUUUGACAGCAGAGGCAAAUAUUUUCCAAAAACUGUUGACAAGCCUGCUGGCUAAUGGCAGACUGGCAAAGGAGCCUUGCUGAGGACUCACUGAGCAUUUUUAGAGCACCCAUACAAUGUUUCGGAGAAGGUACACCCAGAACACACUUGAACUCACAUCACAUGGGUUUCAGAUAUGAAACCAGACCGCGUCUCCCCAGUUCAGAAGCAGAUCUGAAGACCCAGUAGGCAGCUAAUGUGGGAACUGAGCUGACCCUGCAGCCAGUGUUUGGUGUCUCAGGAACAACCUGAGGUAGCAUGGAAGGGCUGACUACUUGUAGUGAAGUUAAAAUCCAGGUGUGUGUGUGUGUGUGUGUGUGUGUGUGUGUGUGUGUGUGCACGCUCGCUCGCACUUAAGCUUAAUUAUAUUUGGUUUACAUUAGCUUUGUUUGCCAGUGAUUUUUUUUUUUAAGGGGGAGGGUCAGAUAUUUAAAUUCAAUUUAAAGUGUUCUAUGGUAAUUGAGGCUACUCGCUGUGGAGAGAGAAUACUUACUUUAGAGGAGAAAGAUCUAGCAUUAUCAUCCAUUACUCUUGAUUGUAAUUUCUUUAAGUCAUGGAGCCCUUUUUGUGAAAUGGAAGUAAUGGGCCUGGAAGGAUGGCUCAGUGGGUAAAGACGCUCUUUGUCGAGCCUGGCAGCCUCAGUUCUGUCCCAGGGCCUCAGAUGGUGGAGAGAAUUGGUUCCUGCAAGCUAUCUCUGACCUCCACACACACAUUGUGGUAAACCACCUCCCUCCAUAAAUAAAUUAAUUAAUUUAAAAAUGUGAACAGUAAAGCCAAUGUGGAAGCUUUCUUAUGCCAGGUAAGUGAGGUGGGUUGUAUUGGCCCAUUCCAUUUUACUCAGCUUUUCACAUAAGCUGGUGGUAUGUUUUGGUAUAGCAACACCAUCCUUAUCAGUAUUGCUUUUGUUAUUAAAGAUUUAUUGUUUGAUUUGAUAUCUUCCAAUUAAAAUAUUACUUCCCUUCUCCCUUCUUUUUUCUCCAAUCCACUUGCCCACUCCUACCUUUUCUUCUAAUUGUUACACAUACAAAUGUGUAUAUGUUAUCCCUGUAUAUAAACUGCUAAGUUAUCUUUAUUACUUUAAAAUUAUGUGUAUAUAUGUGUGUGUCUCUGUGCACAUGGGUGUAGAUUCUUGCAGAGCCCAGAAAUAACGGAGUUACAGGGAGUUAUAAGUGUCCCCUUGUGGGUGCUGGAAUUGAACCUAGUUGAUUCUCAAGAACAGUCAUGUGUUUUUAACACUGAGCCAUCUCUCUAUCCCCAUUAUGUGUUGACUGAGACCUGCUGGUGUGUUAUCUAGGGACAUGCCAGUUCAAAUUCUAAUGCCUUGAUGGGGAGCAAGCAGGUGAGGUAGAGUUAUAGGCCCAGAGUAGAGGGGAGCCCAGGGAAUGUGCCUUUUUUCCUUGCUAUCUCUCCAGAUGGCUGCCCAGCCAGCUUGAUAAUUAGUAUCAACAAAUGUAAGCUGAGAGUGGAGCACAUGGCAUGUGGAGGUCUGUGUCUGUCUGGGGGUGCAGCUGGGCUCAGCUGGGCUGCUGUAGGCAUCACCCCGAGUUGGGCCUAUUCUGGUCUCAGCUGGUACACAGACAACAACACUUCACAUCCUGGGUCCUGCCCAGUGGGCUCAGGGAGCAGAAGGGCCCCAGUAGGGGGUUGUAGCCUCCAGCUGCUUUGAUGCCUGUGUUAGGCCUGAGCUGCAUGGAUCCCUGCACUGCUAUUUAAAUCUGUCACUCGCUGGUGACAGCUUCCCGCCUCAGCAAUGACAGUGUGUGUGCCACAGGUUUCAGCUCAUUACCUCUGCAGGGCUCUGGUCAGGGGGUAAUCAUGAUUACAGACCAGGUCCUUACUCUUCCAGGGACAGUUCCAAGCCUAAGACAGGCUCUGAAGCUUCUGCCUGCUAUCUGCCCACAGGGGACCUUUCUCUCCAGCAUGUCCAGAGAUGGGUUUGUUUUGUUUUACUAUGAUACUUGGGCAUCACAUGUAGAUGUUGCUGAAGUCCUUGGGCAAGUCAUCCUACCUUGUGGGGCUUGUUGCUUCAAUAGACAGUUGAUCCCUUGGAAGCUGUUGACAUGUAUUCAUCUCUGUGCUCCUUGGGGCAACCGUUUGCCCAGUAAAUGACUGGUUAAAUUUGGACAAAGAUGACAAGAGUGUCCUCACCCCUGUGUGAAGUGGAGGAGAGAAAGAAGGUGCAGGUAACUUUUUUUUUCCCUUUUAAGCUGGGGCAGAAGGGACUCUAGUGAAGGGACAUUUGCAUUCAUUUACUCUUUUCCGUAUGACAAUAGACUCAAAGAGAAGCUCUUGUAUGCUCAUUUACCAACCCAAACUUUCACCAAUGUUGCUAGUGGAUCUAAGCCGGUAUUCUCUCUUAAGGGCAUAUAAAUUGUCAAAAAAAGGCACAGAGAAACACUGACUCCUCUGUCUAUUGCACCUCCUUCCAGUUGUUAGGACGUCUGUGGUAAGCAAGCCUGAUAGUGGUGAAGAGUGGAGAGUUGGACUUCCUCUUACGUGACUGAGGAGACUGUGAGAGGUUUGCUUUCUUGGAUAGCGACCAGAAAGUUCUUAAAUGUUCAGCAUAGAGUUGUUCUGCUUGAAUCAAUCUACCCAAGAGAAGCAACCAUACUUGUAUGCAGACUCACACUUAGAGGGAGCGUUGUUCUCAUGGGUGGCCUCUCAGGGACUGGGAAUGAGGACACUGUGCAGAGAUGUUCCUGGGAUGGUUUAUGUAGAGGGACUUGUACCUAGCAAAUGCCAGAUAUUCAGCCUCCCUCCUUCACAACCUUGGUGUUGCAAGAAGGAAGAUUAGUUGUCUUGGAAAUGCAGGCUUUUGACCCCAGGGCUUAGGAAGCUGAGGCCUGCCUAUCUCUGAAUGGCAACCUUUAUCAAUGAAAGGUAUCUGUCUAAGGUCUCCUGGGCGUUGGUCUCCUGCAUUCCUCAGAACCUGCUUGGGCGUACUUCUUGUUAUGUGGGUUGCAGGCUUUGGAAGAGGGAUUCCUGGCUGAUGGAAGAUUCUGUCAGUACUGAGAUAUCUCUGAAAGACCUGAUAAGGACUUGUUAGUUUCUGAGGUGGGUGGGCCCUCCUUUAAGAAGUUCCAUUGAUUGAAAUACCUGAGCAACAGGCUUUUCCUGGCUCCAACCAGUUCUAGGUGACAGGUGGUUGAGUGAAGGGCAGGAGUUAAGUAUCAGCCUCAGGGCCUUUUGCCCAGAACCUGGUUAAGACAGUCCCGAGAUCAAACGCUCUCCUACAUUUGGGAUGUGAGUUCUAUAAGGUUCCUCAAUGGAUACUAGGAUAAAGUAGAUGGCCCCAGGAAACCACAGAGCUCAAGGAACUUCACCAGAGAACAGUUAGAAUUGGAGUUGUGGAUUCUUCUUUCCUGAAACUCAGGAUAGGGGAUGGGAGGUGAGGCUGCAGGCUUGACCUCGGGUGUGUCCCAGAACACUCCAUAUGGUGCUUGGGGGUACUUGGAGAUUACCCUCCUGAUUAGAACUCUUAAUGGAUGGCCUACGGUGACCUAAGAUGAAAAACAGAUUUCUCUGUGUAGAUCCCGGGUUGUUCUUGAACUUGCUCUGUAGACCAGGCUGCCUCUUGAUCUGCCUGCCUCUGUCUCCUGAAGUGCUGAAAUUAAAGGCAUACACUGAUACUCCCAGCUCAAGGUUGUAAUUUACAUACCUA